rnacentral:rRNA from 1 species
UCGUGGAUUAAUUUGUCUGGUUAAUUUCGUUAACGAACGAGACCUUAACUUGCUAAUUGGAGUUGAUGAUUCAUUCGUCAACUCUGUUAGAAGGACCAUGUGUGUCUAACACAAGGAAGCGUGAGGCAAUAACA